rnacentral:lncRNA from 1 species
UUUUUUUUUUGUAUGAAAUCUUUCUCUCCCUGCAGGCUCAGUCAAAUGAGUGAAUCUAUAUUCUAAAAUAUGUCUACAUAUAUCCGUAUGUUAUAUUUUAUUUGAAAUGUCUAAAAAGACUUAUAUUUAGGAACGAAGGGAGUAGGAUCAUCAUGCCUAUAAUACUACAUCUAUGUGAUCCUAUGUAACCUUGAUUUUCAUGGCUGUGGGCCCCCCUCACUCCCCUUAUUCCAAUUAAAAUUUGCAAAAUCAGCAGCAUUACGUAAACCUUACGUAGCUUUGCGUGGAUGUAGCAUUGCUCUGCUACAGACGCGGGAGCAGCGUAGAACGCCAAGGGUGAUUGAAAGUAAAAAACAAAAAGAAGAUUCUAGGAGCAAUGCGGUGAGGGGGUGCAGGAUUUGUCUGUCCGACUCCUCCGACCUGUAAAGCAUGGAGAACCAACCCUAAAUCUAGCGAAAGAAAGACACAAAGACGGCGUGCCGCGGCGGGCGGACCUCCGGUGCAGUGCAGGCGCGAUGAUAGUAAAAGAGGGGAGCUAGGCUGCUAGGGUCCCUUCGACGAUGUGCUCCCUCCUCCUUGGCCCGGCGUCUCGGAUGCGGUCGCGGUUACCGACGCCCAUCCGCCGUCUCAUCUCCGGAGUUCUUUUCCUCGGUGUGUGCGUACGGUGCAGGGCAUGGACUGGACUUGUGGGUUUUGGCUCAGGCCCUCGUCUUAUGCAUUUGUUUUGUGGGAGAUGGUAAACAAUUGCUCUCACACUCUCGGUCGUAUCGUAUGGUUAGCACCCCGGCUCCUGCAGCUGCCAAUAAUGUCAAGUAUCCACACCUUCAUGUGCAUCUGCUAUAAUGUUUAAGUAUCCACAUCUUCAUGUGCAUCAGCUGUCAGCGUGUCAGAUAGUUAGACAAUACAUCAGAUCUCAGAUGCCGGCUGCCACAGUUUAAUGAAGGGAUGCAUCGGUGACUUGGGUGGUCGAGGGGUGCAACUCCGGACAUCGCUUUAUGCGGACGACGCGGCAAUAUUUGUUGCACCGAUCAAGGAGGACGUCCAAGGCCAUCUCCACUAUAUGUCUUGGAAAGCUUUGGAGAGGUGACCGGACUGGCUACAAAUUUCCAAAAAAACGCUUUGUGUGGCACCCAUCCGGUGUGAAGGAUUGGACCUUGAAGACAUCAUGCAAAGCAUGCCCGCGGUGCGCUCGACGUUCCCCUUGCGCUACCUUGGGCUUCCCUUGUCGAUUAGGCGCUUAAAAAGGAGCCACUUCUAGCACCUCGAGGACCAGGUCGUCGGCAAGUUGCCAUCUUGGCAGGGAAAACACUGCAAGUUACCACAUCACGACGCUUGUCAUUCCAGCUGAGGUUCUACAAGCCAUUGACAAGAUCCGGAGGGCCUUGAUUUGUGCGGGUUCCGACAAGGUUUCUGGGGGCAAAAUGCAAAAUUAACUUGACUUCUGUGUGCCGCUCCAUGAUCCUCGGUAGCCUUGGUAUCCUUCACCUUGCAAAGUUUGCUCGUGCACUCCGCCUAAGGUGGCCAUGGCUUGAGUGGAUCACGCCGGAAAGACCUUGGGUGGGCACCGGGAACCCUUGCGACAAGGAGGACAUGGGCCUUUUUCACGCCCUCACGAAGGUCACGAUAGGAGAUGGACGCAAGGCGAGCUUCUGUGAGUCGCCUGACUUGAUGGGUUUAGACCUAAGCACAUUGCACCACUAAUUUUUGACAUUUCCAGAAGCAAAAGUUGGAGCGUAAGGAAGGCAAUUCAGAAUGGUGCUUGGGUGGACAAAAUUCGGUUCUCAAAUGGCCUAACAGUGGCGCACAUCCAAGAAUUCAUCUCGCUUUGGACUUUGGUGACCCAGGUGCAACUACAAGACAACCACCUCGACACCAUCACUUGGAAGCUCACCACCUCAGGGCAUUAUUCGGCGGCCACUGCAUACAAGGCACAGUUUUGCGGCAUCAUGGCUUCUAGCUUCAAGAGCAUGAUUUGGAAGAACUGGGCACCGCCAAAAUGCAAGUUCUUUGCCUAGUUGAUCACUCAGAACCGAGUUAGGACGGCCGGCUGCCUUAUUAAACGUGGUUGGCCAAAUUGUGGCAAUUGUUCGUUGUGCAACCAAGUUUCGGAGUUGGUGUCACACCUACUCUUUCAAUGUAGGUUCUCCAUAAUGGUGUGGAUCAUGGUGCGUGACUGGCUUCAGCUUGAAGGGUUACACCCAAAUACUUUUGGGUUCGAAGAUGUCCAAUCUUGGUGGUACGCCAUGGUUCAUGACGGCUUUGGACGUCGUAAGGCCAUGGCUUCUACUACAAUGCUUGUGUCUUGGGAGAUAUGGAACGAGUGCAACACAAGAAUCUUCAACAACAAAUUCGCCAGGUCGGCAGUAAUCAUGGCCAAAAUCCAGUGCGGGGCGAAGAAUUGGGGGUUGGCAGGCGCAACCCAUUUGUGUAAUCUUAUGUCGGGAGAGUAGGCUUUUGUUUUACCGGCUACUUGCCCUAGGGCGGCCAGCCAAACCUGUUCUAAACUCUCUCUUAAUUAAUGAAUGCCGCAAGUCUUUUGCCCUUUUCAAAAAAAAGGUGUUUUUACAUUAUACUCCCUCUGUAAAGAAAUAUAAGAGUAGUGAUCUAAAUUCUCUAACAUUCUUUACGGUGGGAGUAUUUCCUUAUUUUCAUCGUUUCUUACUCUUGUUUCCCAGCACACAACGGUAAUAUUAAUAUUUUUAUUAUUUUAAAAAUAGGUGCAGUAUAUACACUCAACAGAGUGCGAGUUAGUCCUAUGUUGAUAAGGCGCCGAGAGAUGUGUAGUUAUAGGCCCUGGGCACUCUCCAAAUUUUCUUUUCCUCAACAUUGGACCAAAUCAUACGAGACUCCUAGAACUUGGUCUUACAGUUUUUUGAACGAGUCUGGGAGUUAUAGUGCUCUUUUGUGCGAUUUUAUUCAGGUGGUGAAUGAGUUGCAUACCUACAAGGUUUAUGUAGACUAAGGUUACCACAGGGCUUAUGUAGCUACACCAUACACGUAGGCUCUGCCUUUAGCUUUGAUAAUUGAAACGGGAAAAAAAGCCUUAUUCGUGUCAAAAUAGAAGAUAUGUUAGCACGACCAUGCGAAACAUAUUCUUCCUUCCUGCCAUUUUCUUUGUCAACCCCUCACUCUGCCUUCGAAUCUGUCCCGCUUUGCCGUAAAAACUACAUCCUCCCUUUCUAUCAACGACAGCUACAUGAAACUUCAUUCCUCGUCUUCUAUAUGGUUCUUGGUACAUAACUAAUUAAAAGGUGAAAGAUUUAUUGGCAUUGCUAGUUUAACCAUGGCAACAAUACCAGGCGAUACCAAUGCUAGGAAUAUUAGUUUCACUAAAUUCACUAAUAAGAACAUUAGUAUAGCACUUGGCGCCGUCUUAUGGCAAUACAUAUAUAUCACUAGUUCUUGGAAGAGCUACAAUGAUCUAUACAAAACGAUAAUGAAAUCACGGUGGGAGGGGUAAUGGAGGUAAUCUUUGAUCCUUAAUUCCAUGAUGGACUAGGAGAGAGGAUGAGUCAAUAGCUCGUGGUGGACCAAUCCCUCUCAUCUAUCCACCUAGGUGGGUUUCUUUUCUUGGGCUUCCUUAUUGACUUGGGCCUCUUUUCCAUUAACUAUUUCUUAGUCUUAUUCUUUUUCCUCCAUUCACUUGUUUGACCAUAGUUGGUUGCUUCACUUGACCUUGAUGAUUUGCCAAUUAUAGGUUUGGUAGGACUAAGUAGGGCCUUGAGUAAGAUUAACUGCUCCGCAAUCAAACAUCACUAGUCACUCAUAAUUAGCCAAGAAAAACAUGAAAUGUUUCCUCAAGGAAUCGGUCUUAUAUAGACAUAAGAAAUUAAAGAUGACUCAAACAUCUAAUGUGGCCAAUUUUUUCGCCACUAAUGAAGAUCAACUUGAAAGUUAGGCAUUUACAUGACACCCCUCGAUUAAACAAGGCGUGUGCACAAGAGACAAACAUUUGCUCUUCACUGGGUAACUUGACCAAAUCUUCGGAAUCCACCGCCCUUGUGCCCUUGAGUUAUUCUAUUCCAGUGCACUGACGACCUAGAAGCUAAGUUGGCAACGCAGGACGAAGAAAGGAGAUGCCAGCAACAACUGGAGGGUUUCUCCAAAGCCCCUGCUCGGUCACGACAGAUAGCUCUGACCACUCCAACAUGCCCAUUACGAUGUACAGUAGCAUCUACAUCGAGUUUUGAGAAGUUCUCCGGCGGUGCAAUCCACCCUGAAGGACGAAUAUCCGUUGUUCUUCUAGUAUUUCUGGCUGGCCCGUUUGUUUUUAUUUCGCCCAGAUAGGAGUUGACCUUUUAUAUAGCUGCCCUACGCGAGCUCAACUCUUGAGGCUCAAGUGGAUUUUAAUUCCUGUAAGAGCAACUUCAACAGACCGACCCAAAUGGACGUACGACUUGUCGUCGCUUUUUAUCCGUUUGGUUUGGCCGAGCGGACAGAUUUGUCCACUUUUUCAUGGUCGCCCGGUGUGCCCAACCGCAGCCGGAUGCAUUUGUGACAUAUCAGUCGCUUCAUAUCUGCGCCCCGCACCCCGCGUCACGUGCUCGCGCCUGCCCGUGCUCUGCACCGUGCUCCGCACCCCACCCCGCUCCCUGCGCGCCUACCCAUGCCCCGCGCGCCCGCGCCCCACCGCGUGCUGCUGCUCGGCCGAGGUUGCAGCAGCCGCCGCGCGCUGCCCCAAGCCAAGCGCGAGGACCUACAAGUGGGCACAAACGCCAGCGCACAUUGGCCAUGGCCGAGACAAGCGAUACCCACGCGAGCGCGUGCGAGAGGUGCCUGACGGCGGCGACCACCUGUUCCUACUGCUUGAGGUCGGAGCGAGGCUAGGCAUGGCAAGCACGGCGCGACACCGGCCAGGCGUGGGGCGAGGCCAGCGGCUGCAGUAGCGCCAGCCAGGUGGUGCACGUCCGCUGCGGUGCGGCUGUUCAAGUCCAAGUAAUUCUUACCUUGCCUGAUAGCAGAGCAUGUAGACACUUCGCCAUUGGGUCGCUGCUCUAGCGCCGAGUUCAUCCACUUGCGCCAGGCUAACUCAAACUCGCCCAAUAAAUGGUAACGACCUCUACGUGCCAGUUCCCAGGCCACACAAAAUCGUUCAGACAAACCUCUCAAUGUGACAUAUGUACAUUCCCCUCAACUCAUGAUAUACUUUGUCAAAGCCCAAGACGAGAACUUUCCAUCUAUGUUGGGUGGCUUCCUCCUCUCUUUACAAGAUGUGAAUCACCUCUCCAAGUUAGAGGGCCAAGAUCCUGUCUUGAUCCAGUAUGGCAGACGGUGAUGGCACGGCGAAAAGCCACAUGAAGUUAGAAGAAAGUUAUGUGGCACUCUAGUGCGUGCUGCUGAAGGGAGGAAUGUUGCUGCGCAGAUGCUCACGCUACGUUUCUCAUCUUCUUCACCUUAUAGGUGAUGAAGGACAGAUAAAUGAGCAUAGAUACCAAACACUGAACACCAUCAAGAAAAUGCAGCAGGCUAUUACUGCUACAUAACAAGAACCAAACUUAGAUAUCACCAGGCAGCCAGACAAACAGAAGAACCAACAACAGGCGACUCAAAAGUGCAUGACAUAGAACACGUUGCUACAACGUUCAGGCUGGCAAACGGGCAGGCAUAAUUAACAAAAAAUUGACCAGUACACAUCGGGGAUAACUAGUUACUUGAAAAGUAAGGUUCAGCGGGGCUUCAUUUUUCCCAUAAACAGGCGUGCAGCUUAGUCGCCCUUCCGGCGGAAGGAGCAUCCCUCGGUGAGCCUCGCCUUUCCUCCGGUGGGUUGGCAGAGCACCGUCUGGCAGCCAGGGCACACCACCACGGUCUGAGAGUGGCUGAACACAGUCGUUCUGUCACAAGGCAAUAGAUGGUUGGAAA